rnacentral:rRNA from 1 species
UACGUAGGGCGCAAGCGUUGUCCGGAUUCACUGGGUGUAAAGGGUGCGUAGGCGGGAAGGUAAGUCCGCGGUGAAAUCUCACGGCUCAACCGUGAAACUGCCGUUGAUACUGCUUUUCUUGAGUUCGGGAGAGGUUGAUGGAAUUCCAGGUGUAGCGGUGAAAUGCGUAGAUAUUAGGAAGAACACCAGUGGCGAAGGCGGCUCACUGGCCCGGAACUGACGCUGAGGUACGAAAGCGUGGGGAGCAAACAGG